rnacentral:rRNA from 1 species
AGAGUUUGAUCCUGGCUCAGGAUGAACGCUAGCGGCAGGCUUAACACAUGCAAGUCGAACGGUAACAGAAAAAGCUUGCUUUUUGCUGACGAGUGGCGAACGGGUGCGUAACGCGUAUGCAACCUACCUUCUUCUAGGAAUAGCCCAGAGAAAUUUGGAUUAAUACCUUAUGAUAAUAUUUAUUCGCAUGUUUAAAUAUUUAAAACUUCGGUGGAAGAAGAUGGGCAUGCGUAACAUUAGUUUGUUGGUGUGGUAAUGGCUCACCAAGACUACGAUGUUUAGGGGGUCUGAGAGGAUGAUCCCCCACACUGGUACUGAGACACGGACCAGACUCCUACGGGAGGCAGCAGUGAGGAAUAUUGGUCAAUGGACGAAAGUCUGAACCAGCCAUGCCGCGUGAAGGAUGACUGCCCUAUGGGUUGUAAACUUCUUUUGUAUAGGAAGAAACCCCUCUACGUGUAGAGGGUUGACGGUACUAUUCGAAUAAGCACCGGCUAACUCCGUGCCAGCAGCCGCGGUAAUACGGAGGGUGCGAGCGUUAUCCGGAAUUAUUGGGUUUAAAGGGUGCGUAGGCGGAAAUUUAAGUCAGUGGUGAAAGCCUGCAGCUCAACUGUAGAAUUGCCAUUGAUACUGGAUUUCUUGAAUCUAAUAGAAGUAGGCGGAAUAUGACAUGUAGCGGUGAAAUGCUUAGAUAUGUCAUAGAACACCGAUAGCGAAGGCAGCUUACUAUGUUAGUAUUGACGCUAAUGCACGAAAGCGUGGGGAGCGAACAGGAUUAGAUACCCUGGUAGCCCACGCCGUAAACGAUGAUUACUCGCUAUUGGCGA